AUGAACGCUGGCGGCGUGCCUAAUACAUGCAAGUCGAGCGAACAGACGAGGAGCUUGCUCCUCUGACGUUAGCGGCGGACGGGUGAGUAACACGUGGAUAACCUACCUAUAAGACUGGGAUAACUUCGGGAAACCGGAGCUAAUACCGGAUAAUAUAUUGAACCGCAUGGUUCAAUAGUGAAAGACGGUUUUGCUGUCACUUAUAGAUGGAUCCGCGCCGCAUUAGCUAGUUGGUAAGGUAACGGCUUACCAAGGCAACGAUGCGUAGCCGAACUGAGAGGGGGAUCGGCCACACUGGAACUGAGACACGGUCCAGACUCCUACGGGAGGCAGCAGUAGGGAAUCUUCCGCAAUGGGCGAAAGCCUGACGGAGCAACGCCGCGUGAGUGAUGAAGGUCUUCGGAUCGUAAAACUCUGUUAUUAGGGAAGAACAAAUGUGUAAGUAACUAUGCACGUCUUGACGGUACCUAAUCAGAAAGCCACGGCUAACUACGUG
rnacentral:rRNA from 1 species